rnacentral:rRNA from 1 species
UACGUAGGGUGCGAGCGUUGUCCGGAAUUAUUGGGCGUAAAGAGCUCGUAGGCGGCUUGGCAAGUCGGGUGUGAAAACUCCAGGCUCAACCUGGAGACGCCACCCGAUACUGCCAUGGCUAGAGUCCGGUAGGGGACCACGGAAUUCCUGGUGUAGCGGUGAAAUGCGCAGAUAUCAGGAGGAACACCGGUGGCGAAGGCGGUGGUCUGGGCCGGAACUGACGCUGAGGAGCGAAAGCGUGGGGAGCGAACAGG